AUCGAUGAAGAACGCAGCGAAAUGCGAUACUUGGUGUGAAUUGCAGAAUCCCGUGAACCAUCGAGUCUUUGAACGCAAGUUGCGCCCAAGGCCUUCGGGUUGAGGGCACGUCUGCCUGGGUGUCACGC
rnacentral:rRNA from 1 species